rnacentral:lncRNA from 1 species
CGGUUGUACUUCGCCAUGAUCAAGAUCUAAUCAAGCUUGCUCAUGGGAUGACUCUGGUAAUCUACUUUUAUUUCAUUAUGCAAUUACUAUCCAUUUAUGUUCUGGUUCACAACUCUUUUGAAUACUUUAAUCUAUAGGACGCUAUUGGUGAGAGUUGUAGUAUAGGUGUAAGCAUGGUGCUUAGACCUAGAUUACUUGUGGAUAUCCCCUGUCUAGCUAGAUCGUGCAGUAGGCCGCGUAGGUGACAGUUACGUUGGUCCUCUGUAGUCCACCUCCCGUUAGCAGGACUGGUAGGGUUUAUCGGCCUAUGGAUAAGCAUCCUUUGUGGUGUAUUCUUAUCAUGUGGUUCGCCCCAGACAUAGACAUACCCCUUUGAAGUAGAGAAACCAUAGUUAUCCUCUCUAUUCUCCUACCAUCACCCAUAUACUAGAUUGCUCUACUCUCUAUUCCCACAUUAUCAUCCAUUGUUAUCUUACCUUUUAUAUUGUUCUUAUUCAAUUCUACCAUCUUUCCUAUUUACACCUACCUAUCUAUCUAGGUUAAGUUAGAGCGUAGAUCAAUUCUCCCGUUUCCCUGUGGAUACGAUAAAACCUUUAACCGGGUAAAAGCUACAACGGUAUCCAUGUGCUUGUGGAUUUAUCUGUGUGCGUAUAAAUACCAUAGUACACUCUAGUGCCAUGCUGGGGAUGACAACCUAGUAUUCAAGUGGUGUUAGCAGGUGUCAACAAGCAUUUUUGGCGCCGUUGCCAGGGAAACGGUUGCUGAGUUGACUACGAACUAGCUUAAUCAUUUUCUAAAAAAUUAAAAAAAAAUAUAUACUUUUCCUUUUAUUUAUCUAAUUCUUGAUCUCUGGUCUAUCAUGAAUUCAAACAUGUCUAUCUAUGAAUUUCAUAGACCUACGGGCACACAUCUCGAACCACCAAAAUCUUCAAAGCUUAUCAUAGCAUCUAGUUUUGAGAUAGACCCCGAAUACAUAGAAUUUGUUCAAAAACAACCUUUCUCAGGAGAAGGUGAGGAAAACCCAUACACACACCUAGGAGAGUUUUAUCGAGUCUGUGACCUCCU